CCUGAUGCAGCCAUGCCGCGUGUAUGAAGAAGGCCUUCGGGUUGUAAAGUACUUUCAGCGGGGAGGAAGGGAGUGAGGUUAAUAACCUUAUUCAUUGACGUUACCCGCAGAAGAAGCACCGGCUAACUCCGUGCCAGCAGCCGCGGUAAUACGGAGGGUGCAAGCGUUAAUUCGGAAUUACUGGGCGUAAAGCGCACGCAGGCGGUCUGUCAAGUCGGAUGUGAAAUCCCCGGGCUCAACCUGGGAACUGCAUUCGAAACUGGCAGGCUGGAGUCUUGUAGAGGGGGGUAGAAUUCCAGGUGUAGCGGUGAAAUGCUUAGAGAUCUGGAGGAAUACCGGUGGCGAAGGCGGUCCCCUGGACAAAGACUGACGCUCAGGUG
rnacentral:rRNA from 1 species